rnacentral:lncRNA from 10 species
GGAGAAUUGCUUGAACCCAGGAGGCGGAGGUUGCAGUGAGCCACGCCACUGCACUCCAGCGUGGGUGACAAGAGCGAAACUCCGUUUCAAACAAACAAAAAAAAAGAACUUCCUGCUUCAAAACACUCCUUGCCAUCUUGUACUAUCUUCCUCAUUCAUACACAAAGUAAAAAUCCUUGGCUUGAUCUCCAACAUGCCACUGACUAGAAAGUGGAAAUCCCAAGAUCUGCAUGUUUAGGGAAAAACAGAGAGAUCUGACGUGACCUUUAGGUUAGGCUACAUGUCCCUACCUAGGUUUACUGGGGCACUAGACAUAUAUUUAGCUAGGACUCUCAGAUGCAAGUGAACAAAUCUAAUAGGAAGUACCUUAGGGGGUGGGGGAAAUUUUAUUGGCUCAUAUAAUCAAAUAAUGCAAAGGGCGGGAAUGUAGCUAUUCUUGGAGACUUACUAGAACUGAAUUAUUUACCAUUUGGACUUUAUAUCUUGCCUCUGCUUUCCUCAGCAAGACGGCCUCCUCUCAGACCAGCAUCCUCUAGAAGAUUGGAGUCAUGGGCACUGGCAUCUUUCCGCUUCAACUUCAGGUAAAAGAGUCUUUUUUCUUAAUUUCUAUUUGGAAAAUCUCAAAAGGAUCC